rnacentral:rRNA from 1 species
GAGUUUGAUCCUGGCUCAUGACGAACGCUGGCGCCGCGCUUAACACAUGCAAUACGAACGAGGGCCCGAUAGCUUGCUUUUUGACCCGAGUGGCUUACGGUCUGAGUAACACGCGACUAACCUACCUUCGGGAGGGGGACAACUUGAUGAAACCCGGGCUAAUACCGCAUAUCGUCCACGGGCCUUGUGGCCUAUGGAUAAAAGGGGGCCUCUGCUUGCAAGCUCUCACCCGAAGAGGGGGUCGCGGCGUAUCAGCUAGUUGGUGGGGUAAUGGCCUGCCAAGGCAUCGACGCGUAGCGGGUCUGAGAGGACGACCCGUCACAUUGGGACUGAGAUACGGCCCAGACUCCUACGGGAGGCAGCAGUAGGGAAUAUUGCGCAAUGGCCGAAAGGUUGACGCAGCGACGCUCGCGUGUGGGAGGACGCCCUUCGGGGUGUAAACUCCUGUCAGGGGGGAAGAACUUCGUAGGUGUGAAUAGCACAUGCGGUUGACGGUACCCCCAGAGGAAGCGCCGGCUAACUCCGUGCCAGCAGACCGCGGUAAGACGGAGGGCGCAAGCGUUGUUCGGAAUUUCUGGGCGUAAGGGGCAGGCAGGUGAGUUUGUUAAGUCUUCUGUGAAAAUCCGGGGCUCAACCCCGCGAAAUGCAGGUGAAACUGGCAGACUUGAGACCGGUAAAGGCUAGCGGAAUUCCUGGUGUAGCGGUGGAAUGCGUAGAUAUCAGGAAGAACACCUGUGGCGAAGGCGGCUAGCUGGGCUGGUUCUGACACUGAACUGCGAAAGCGUGGGGAGCAAACAGGAUUAGAUUCCCUGGUAGUC